UGCCCUAUGGUGUAAUGGUUAGCACAGCGGUCUCUAAAACCGCACGUCUCAGUUCGAAUCUGAGUAGGGCGA
rnacentral:tRNA from 1 species